UAUUACUAUAGCAGAGAAACUAUUUUCUAUCACAAUAUCUAUUAUCUUCUCCUUCCCCAGUAACAGACUUUGAUUUUAUGUGUAGCAGCCAUGUACCCAGACAAAAGACUUCUUCAUUCUCAGAUAAAGAAGACUUCAUUUUCUCUUACAGCUACUUACAACCAUGUGACUCAGUUCUGCUUAAUGUGAUGUAAGUGGAAACAUUGUAUUGGGCUUCCAGGACCUUUCUUUAAAGAGAAUGGGCCUUCUUUGUCCUUUCAUCCAUUUCACUGCCUGGAGUAGAGGUGAAAUAGCUGGAGCUCUAUCUGCCAGUUUAAACUAUGAGGAAAAGAGAUAUACUUUAAGGAUGGCUGAGAGCUGACACUGUCCUUGGACUUCCUACCUCCAGGGAAAUAAAUUAUUUUAUUCAAGCUUCUCUUAUUUAGGAUUUUUGGGUUAUUUGCAAGUGAACCUGACCCUAAGUAACUCAUCUACUUUUUGUCUACAUGAUGUCUAACUCUACAUGGCGCUUUCAUGUAUAUUAUCCCAUUUUCAACAGAUAGGAGGAUAUCCAUUUUCCUGUUUCUAGGUGGUCCUGAUUCCAGGAGAGUCAGUGAGGGCCAACGGCAACCAUUAGAGAGCCGUUUACCUACCCAGGUUGAAGACCAUGGGAAAACUGGAAAUAUUGGGUUCAGCAGGCAAAAAGGAGAUGCUGUUCUCAGAGUUAAUGACAACUCUAGGGGAAACUCUGCCUCCAUUUUUUGAAGCUAGGCUCUGAUUGUUGGAAACCCAAGCCUUUUUCACUACCUCACUUCCUCAUCUUUGAAAUAGCAUUGGUCUCUGCCAAGAACUUUGAAUAUAAAUAUUGUCUUGUGGAAAUUUUUUUUUCUAAAGCAGAGCCUCACCAAUGUUUUCAUUCCUCACUGAUUGGCUGUUGGACUCAUCCUUAGUGAAAAUUCUUCAGGAGUAGGUAUUGCCCAAAGACAGCUCUUCGGGAGUCCAUCUGCUUUGUGAUAGAGAUGGUAUCUGUGGCUGGAGUAAGAGUCUUAGUACUCUGAUGCCACCUGCUGCACUUCAUGCCAAGGUAGCAACUGGUCCAGGAUCUCCAACAGUUAUUUCUGUCUUGUUCGAUUUCCACCUUCCUCUACUCUCUAGCAUGUCCUUCCUCUACCCCAGCUCCCACACUGGGUUCUCUUCCAAAGUUGGGCAGGCAUUUUUGCCCAGGUCCCCUUCUCCCUCACUCCUCUAAGGAACCCUAGCAGGAUCUGGCUAAUUCUAUCAUGGCCCACCCUGACCCAGCACUUCUUGAAACUGCCUGUUAUACACAAGGAACCCAGCCUGGGCAGGCUCUUCCUUAAGGUGACAUUUUGAUUCACAGCAAGGCACCCUUGGAAGGGGUGAGUUGCGUGUGUCUCAAAGCAGAGACGGCAUCCACAGUGGUCUAAGCAGAACCUUGCUUUCCAAGGGUGGUGAUGAGAGGGGUUAAUGGACUCUGAUGGUUUAAUGGCAAUCAUCGUUUUCUCGUCUAUUAUUCAUAUUUUCACUCUUGGCAGUCCUGUGAGGUAUUUUGUGUGAAUUUUACAGAUAUGCUCUGCGAAGAGGAGAGGGCAGCAAACACUGACAGUGAGCGCCAGGCCUGAGUUAGGGUGUUGCACGCACUGGCUGCCGUCACAGCAGGGGAAGGCAUGCGGCUGUCACGAGUCAGCACUUGGUUCUACUGGAGCCCACUGCGGGCCUGUACAAGCCCAUAGGUCAGAGCAGCUUACUAUAAAUUCGAACCUUGACUGUGUCUUCUGCAGCACAGAGAUGACAGGCCUGGGAUCUAGGCUUGAGCUCACUGGCGCCCCGGGAGGCAGCGGAGUACAGUGGCCGCAGCACAGGCUGUGCAGCCAGGCAGAGCUGCUGGCGGGAUCCUGGCAUCACUGCUCAACAGUCAGGGGACCUUGGCCAAGUCACUGAACUUGCUCUGAUCCUAUAUUCCACAUCUGUAAGGCGGUGAUGAAAACAGUGCUGGUCUUCAACAGUUGCAAUGAUUGAAUGUGAAGGAAGAAAGAACCUGCAUUUCCCUUUCUCAGCUCCUUUCCUGGAUUGGUGUGUGCUAAGUCUCUUGCAGUUGUCAUCAUGUCUUCAGAAUGCCUUUGAUAGGUACAGGAAGUUGUACCAGAGGGAGAUGGAAUCAGCAAUCAAUAAAAAAGAACUAUGUUUCUAAGAAGAAUGCAUCAUGGGCUUCCCACAGGAGUUGUGUACUAUAUGUUCUAAUAUCUGUGGAACAAUGGAUCUAAUUUUUAGUUCUUCUGCUUGGCUUUCCCAGCCAUCUCAGCAAAAAAGAAAAUGGACAUUUUAACCUGCUGCCCAGCUUACUGAUGACUUAUACUAAAGAUUGCUUUACCCUUUAACCCCUUCAUUGUUAUCGCAGAAUAAAAUCUCUCCCUUCUCUUCCUC